rnacentral:rRNA from 1 species
UACGUAGGGGGGCUAGCGUUGUUCGGAAUUACUGGGCGUAAAGCGCGUGUAGGCGGCUCGGAAAGUCGGAUGUGAAAGCCCUGGGCUUAACCUAGGAAGUGCAUUCGAAACUCCCGAGCUUGAGUUCUGGAGAGGAAGGCGGAAUUCUCGGUGUAGAGGUGAAAUUCGUAGAUAUCGAGAGGAACACCGGUGGCGAAGGCGGCCUUCUGGACAGUGACUGACGCUGAGACGCGAAAGCGUGGGGAGCAAACAGG